rnacentral:rRNA from 1 species
GACGUAGGGCGCGAGCGUUGUCCGGAUUUAUUGGGCGUAAAGAGCUCGUAGGCGGUUUGUCGCGUCGUUCGUGAAAACUCACAGCUUAACUGUGAGCUUGCGGUCGAUACGGGCAGGCUAGAGUUCGGUAGGGGAGACUGGAAUUCCUGGUGUAGCGGUGAAAUGCGCAGAUAUCAGGAGGAACACCGGUGGCGAAGGCGGGUCUCUGGGCCGAUACUGACGCUGAGGCGCGAAAGCCAGGGGAGCAAACGGG